GGGGGGGGGGGGGGGUUGUCGAUCGAAGGUGAAACAGGAAUAGAUGCAUAAACUGAGGGCCAACAUCAAAUUCCAGCGAGCCUUUCUUGUUUCCGAUGAAUCAUUCCCGGCAGCAAAGGAAAACGAAGGGAGAAGGGAUCUCCGGUGACGACCUGCGAAUGGAACCAGGGAGUGGAGGCGGCGACUGGUGCCGAUCGAAGGGAGUACCACCGGUGCUCAAUCGGACUUAAGAAGGAAGAAGGGCGAGAGUCGGCUCUCCGGCGGCGAUUCGUGAAGGUAAUAGGGAGGCAGCAACGGCUUUUGCUGUUAUCUGUGGUGGUGAGAAGGAGGCUGUUCCGGUAGCUUCCCUUGGUUAUUCUUGUCUCUGAUCCGGUAGUAAGCAUUUCACCAACGAGGGGUGAAUGAAUCCGAAGCAGCGAAUAAGUAAGAAAAGAACCAAAAGAAGAGGUUGAUGGCCUCUUGUUGUUUCUUGGAAACCAAAAUCAAAGAAGAAAGAAAGAAGAAGAUGGAAGAAAAGGUUGCUGACUCUUUGGUUUUGUACAGCCACAAUCGGAGAAAAGAAACGAUAAUAAAACAAAGAUCAAGUGUUUUCAAUUGUGUGUAGCCUUGGAUAAGAUGAAGAGUAGAAGAAACAUAAUUUUCAAUUUCAUUUAUUGGUUGUACUUUUAGAUAGAUUUAGAAGCAAUGUAAUGCUUCAAUCAUUCUAUGUAUUGAUGUAUAUAUUAUAUGUAUUUUUAUAUGUAUAAUCAUGUAUUUGUGUAUUA